GCCAGGCAUGGUGGCGCAUGCCUGUAAUCCCAGCUACUUCAGGGGGCUGAGCCAGAAGAAUCACUCGAACCUGGGAGACGGAGAUUGCAGUGAGCCGACAUCGUGCCACUGCAUUCCAGCCUAGGCAACAGAGUGAGACUCUGUCUCGG
rnacentral:SRP_RNA from 1 species